rnacentral:tRNA from 1 species
UCCCAGGUGUCUCACUGGUAAAGAAUCUGCCUGCCAAUGCAUGAGUUGCAGGAGACGCAGGUUCGAUCCCUGGAUUGGGAA